GGCCUGGUCCUCGGCAAUCCCCCUUCGUGUUACUGCUCCCCAGUCACUUACUGCAGGAAGCGCCAUCCACGGGGUGCAGUACAUCCCACCGCUGCCACCAGUUGUCACGGAGUCCCUGGGCGAUGCUCUGGAACUGCUCCCCAUGAAGUCAGUCAGGACUCUGGGGUAGUCGCCUUUCUGUGAGCAGCCUGUCUUCAGGACACACAGCUCACACAGCUUCCACCUUCCUGGGUCUGACCUCGGAGCAUUCAGCAUCCUCUGCCCCUCCGUGCGCUUUCCCCCAGCGAGUCCGCUCAGGCAGGACUCCUGGGGAAGCCAGAGGGUCCUGCACCCCAACUUCGCAGUCAGACGUGACUCUCAGCCAGCCAGUAAAACAGAAGGUUUAUUAGAUGACAGGAACAUGGUCUAAAACAGAGCUUGCAGGUGCAGAGAACGGGACCCCUCAGCUGGGUCCAUUCUGGGGGGCAGUGAGCCAGACAACCACGUCUGCACUUCACUCCAUGUCCCAGCCAGCCCCAAACUGAAAACCCCUCCAGCCCCUCCUCCUCUGGGCUUUGUUCCUUUCCCGGGCCAGAAGGUCACCUGAUUCCUUUGUUCUCCAACCCUUCAGCUCUCACCUUGCAGGGGGGGAAGGGCCCAGGCCAUCAGUUGCCAGGAAACAGGGUGUCGGCCAUUCUCUGUGUCCAGACCCCUUCACACACCUGCCCUCUAGGGCUCUGCAAUGAUCAUACACCCUUACUCCACCCCCUAGAUACUUAAGAACUGCCUACGGGAAACUGAGGCACCCCCACACUAUUCAGAGGAAACAUUAAGAACAGUCCCACUUCGUCACACUCCGUCAGCCAGAUGGGUGGGGAGGUGGACAGGCUCCCACUCCUGACCCCAACCUAUAUGUCUGUGUGGAGUUUCCUGGGGCCAGGCCCCUCGGACCCCCAGUGGGAGCGGAAGGGGAUGGUCAAUGGGGAGACAUUCCUGGGGUGGCGAGAUCCUGGGACAGAGAGAACUGGUGUCAGGCCCCGGGUGGUGCAGCCUCAGAUGCUGAGGGGCUGUGUGAGCUGGGUGAGGGUCCCAGGGAUGAAGCCCCUCGCCCUGCCUAUGGCCCAGAUCCCCGUGCAGACCCAGGAGGGGUGGGGCUGGCUGGUCGUUGGGGUGCUCCAGGACACCAGCUGCGAGACCCUGUUGUGGGGUGACUGUGUCUCUUUGGGACAGGAUCCAGGCCUUGCUCCUGUAACUGCCAAGGGUUUGAAUUUGAAUCCAGGGAACCAAUCGGCGGAGAGGGAAAUGGUCAGUGAAAAUGCAGAUGACCUGGCUGGCAGCAGGGAGGAGCCGCUAGGCUCAGGCUACCUGCCUGCCUGUAACCAGACCCCUGGGGCUGGGUGGGACAGAGAGAUGCUCCCUGCCCCCUUGCACACCAGACUGGGGACUCUCGCUGGCUCUGAUGCAGUGAGGAAAGCAGUGGCCUGCCCCCACUGGGACAGCAAGGGCAGCGCUGAGCACAGUGGGAGCUGAGACCCCAGCUGAGUGGGGGGAGACACAGGCAGGGCAGGGGAUCUGUGGGGAGUGGCAAGGUGCUUGGUAAGGAAAGUUUGGAUGAACCUAGGCAGCCUUGUGAGCUGAUGGCUGUGUCUAGUCAGCAGGGUGGGAAGGUGAGGAGAGUGGAAGAUGAGUGUCCCUGGACCUUACCUGUUAGCUGGGUGGAGAAUUGGGACAGUGAAGGAAAUGGGUCUCGGUCUGUCAGGGGUAUUGACUUGCCUAUGGAGGGAGCUACCCUGAUCUCCAAGCAGUUGUCUGUGACCAGCCUUGUGUGCUGGGACAAAGGGAAUCAGAUCCCAACCUGUGUGUCUGGGAAAGGAGAAAGUGUGUCCGGCUCUUCUUGGUCUGUGGAGCAGACAGAAGGGGCCUUUCAGCCUGUGAUGAUUGAGGGUCGUGCAGUUGUCUCAGAGCUGGUUCUGGAUUCAGCUAAAGCCCAGGAAGGGAAGGGUCCUAAGUUUCUGUCUGCUCGGGAGAGUGGCCCUGUAACUAGGUCGCAUCCAGUUAGGGUCUAUGUAAAAUCCCCGAGACCAGACAAUUCUGGUGCUUGUAUUUGGCCUGUUGCUAGUGUGUUGUUGGAAAGGGUGGAGCAACUCUGUCUAAUCAGGGUGAGAUCCUAGCCAGGGCACAAGGAGAGCAGGAAGGUGUGUGAUUGUGUUACCUACCGAGGGUGUGGAAACCUGUAGCAAGAAGGAAAAGAUUCCUGAACUUGUGUGUGGCAAAGGGAAGGAGAAUGCUUCUAACCUUUUAUCUAGGAAGUCUGUAAGUUUGCCUGAAAGGGGAUUGUGUAGGAAUCCGCCUGAUGGGCCAGAGGUGAUUCUGGAUGUAAGGGAGACCCAGAAAGAGUCUGUUGUUGCUCAGGAAAGUGUUCCUCUAGAGCAAGCCCUAGGUGAAGAGGGUAAGAGCAGAAUUUCUGGGAGGGGUGAAUUGUUGCAUAGAAAAGCCCUUGGGAAAGGAAUCCUCAUGGAGUCUUUGCAAGCAGUUUACUGCAACUGAAGGGUGUGAAAGUGAUUUAAUCAAGAAAGUUUCAGUUCCUAACAGCCAGAAAUUUUCUGUUGUGAAUGGAUCCACUGACUUUGCUGUUGAAAGAUCCAGUGUGGAGAGCUUUGAGAAGGUCUCAGAUGGAGUGAAAGCUGUUAAGAAAGGUAUACCGUCCUAUAACCAAGUGGCUGUGUUUGGCCAGCUUGUUGGGGAGACAAGGUUGUGGAGGAAGGGAUGUCUCCAUGCUAGUUCUGUAAGUGAACAGUAUGUGGCCCAGGUCAAGAUGGGGGCCCUUAACCAAGAGAGCCCGAAUUGCAGCCCUCCAGACUGGAGCUCUGGGAGAAAACCCAAUCCCAGUUUGACCCCCUGGGUUUUUGGGGUGGCCAAAGGGCAUGGGCUGCAGAAACCUUCCCACAUGCAGCCUGCUAGUGCUAUCAACCACCCCCGACCUAAGGCAGGGCGUGAAACUGGAAGGGCCUGGUGUAACUCCUACCAAGGAAUGGGAGAGAUGCUGGGGCAUCCAUGGGAACAUUGGUGGCUUCAAACUUCCCCAGGUCACCGGCUAAAGUGACCCCGCUCAGUUCGAUCUUGAAGGGGGGAGAGAUGUGACGAAGUGGGCCUGUUCUUAAUGUUUCCUCCGAAUAUUGUGGGGGUGCCUCAGUUUCCCCUAUGCAGUUCUUAAGUAUCUAGGGGGUGGAGUAAGGGUGUAUGAUCAUUGCAGAGCCCUAGAGGGCAGGUGUGUGCAGGAGUCUGGACACAGAGAAUGGCCAACACCCUGUUUCCUGGCAACUGAUGGCCUGGGCCCUUCCCCCCCUGCAAGAUGAGAGCUGAAGGGUUGGAGAACAAAGGAAUCAGGUGACCACCUGGCCCAGGAAAGGAACAAAGCCCAGAGGAGGAGGGGCUGGAGGGAGUUUCAGUUUGGGGCUGGCUGGGACAUGGAGUGAAGGGCAGACGGGGUUGUCUGGCUCACUGCCCCCCAAAAUGGACCCAGCUGAGGGGUCCCGUUCUCUGCACCUGCAAGCUCUGUUUUAGACCAUGUUCCUGUCGUCUAAUAAACCUUCUGUUUUACUGGC